GACGGAGGGGGCAAGCGUUGUCCGGAAUCACUGGGCGUAAAGCGCACGUAGGCGGUCUGGUGCGUCGGCGCUGAAACCUGCGGGCUCAACCCGCAGACGCGUGCCGAUACGACCGGACUGGAGGCAGGCAGAGGGUGGCGGAAUUCCGGGUGUAGUGGUGAAAUGCGUAGAGAUCCGGAGGAACGCCUGUGGCGAAAGCGGCCACCUGGGCCUGAACUGACGCUGAGGUGCGAAAGCGUGGGGAGCGAACCGGAUUAGAUACCCGGGUAGUCCACGCCGUAAACGAUGCCGGCUCGGUGCCUGGGCUCCGUUUAGGGGCCUGGGUGCCUCAGCACACGCGGUAAGCCGGCCGCCUGGGGAGUACGAGCGCAAGCUUAAA
rnacentral:rRNA from 1 species